ACAAUAGAUGGAGUGUAUGUUUGUGUGUGUGUGUGUGUGAAUUCUUGAGUUAUGUGUGAUUUGAAGAACAAUCGAUACAAUCUGGAGUGUGUGUAUUCAUGAGUGUGAUGGGUGGCGACGGUGGAGAGAAUGAUGGUGGCGUUUUCUUUCUUUUUCUAAUAAAAAAUCUCCUAUCCUAAUGAAUAAGAGAUUUCUUUGCCACGUGGCAAUUUUUAAGCCCCUCCCAAUCGUUUUUUCCCGCUGGACUCUGUAAAGUGAAAUACAAAUACUACCCUUCUCCUUAGUCCUUAUCCUUACGUUACAAUUAUGAUUACGAAAAACUCCAUUUUACCUCUGAUACUUAUCCUAUGUUUCUUCUUCUCAUGUAUACUAGGGCUUAUGUUGAAUUGUGGUUACUCCCUCAUCAAUGGUGAAGAUGACGCCCAUAUGCUCUCCGGAGCCACAAUUUCUGUUCGGGUGGGACAAGUUGAAGCAAGUGAUGGUAUGGGUAUGGUCCCACUGGAUGUGGUGGUUCGGAUCCUUAACAAUCAACUCAGUUCAUUAAUGUGGAUCGACGAAAAGGUUGUAUUUAUAAAUAUAAUUUUGUAAUUACAAAAAUAAAAAUUUACUUUGAAAAUCAGAAAUAUAAUAACUAAAUUAUAAAUUAUAAAUAAUAUAAACAUCAUGUUGGUUCCACAAACAUCCUUUUGAAUCCAAUCAUUUUUUAUUAUUUUUUUAAUUUCCUAUCAAUUUUGGUCCCAGUAUCGUCAAAGUCAACAUUUAACUGUCAAAAUUUUAUAAUGACCACAAGAACCAAAUUUGUUAUUUACCCUAAUAUUUGUUAUUUGUUUUCUGUAAAUUAACCUUUAGAAAAUUUUGACUUUUUAGUCGUGGAUCAUGCUCAAAUGAUUAAAGAAACGUAAAUAUAUUAUGCAAAUAUUGUUCUUUAUGUUAUUAUUGUUAUUAUAUGUCAUUUAAAUUCAAAUCCCUUUAAAAUCGGUAUCUAAUAUCAAUAUAUUUGUUAAUUUGUCAAUUUUCCAACUUACUCUAACACAAUUAUAGGGAUUAUACAUAUCCAUAAAAAAUAUAUCUGUUAUAAAUUGAAGUUCUCUUUUUCCCUGAAUGCACGGUUUACUUCAACAUAAAAUUUUGUCUCCAGCCCUUCCUUUCAUCGUGAACAACAAAUAAGAUAACAUCAAGGUUAGUUUUUAUUUACUCUAUAAUUUUGUAUGAUGUUCAUCUUUUUCCUUCUAUCAGUUCAUAUGCAUCAUCUGUAUCUUAUUCUGCAAUGACAUCAACAUUUGAUUUUAUAGAUGUGUUGGCAUCUACUUUGUUCAAAAAUUCAUAAUUAUAUUUGCAUAAUAUGGUUGUAUAUAAUUAUCUUUUCUGCUAUGAUUGGGUUGCAACCUAAAAAAUUUCUCCUACAUGCUUCCAUAAUGAUUAUCACUUAUGAUCUUUCAUUGUGUUAGGUCAAUUGCACGUUUUAUAAAAUUGUGUAACUUUAUAGAUCGACAUUUUAUAAAUGUAAUUUUUUUAAGUUACGCAUUCUACUUCCAUUUAUAGCAAUAUACUUGAAUAUAAUUCUUUUUUAAUAUUCAAAUUUGUAGGUUGGUCACCCUAAUUCCUAUUUAUUCUGUUUCUUUUUUUUUCCGGUUUGUUGGUAGUACAUCAACCAGUUUAAGUUUUCAAUCCUUUGGAAAGUCUUAUUUGUUGUAACCAUUCUAUAAAACAACCUAUUAUUAUUAAAUAAAUUCAUCAACACAUAUAUUGAAAUCUAUUAUGCCAAUCUUAGUAACCAACAUCUUUUACUUGUGUAAAUAGAGUUAAUAUGUUUAUUAUAGCAAUGUACUUUAAAAGGGCCAUUUUUUAUGUGUAUUUGUAUCUAUAUAUGUGACUUUUUUUUGUAUGUUUAAAUGUUAAUGUGUAUUAUAGAAAUGUAUUUUAAAAUUACUUUGCUAUUGUAUCCAAUAUAAAAAUGGAAAAAAAAAAGUUAAACAAGGGCUAUUUUUGUACAAACUACAAACCCUUGGGAAAUUUGUGGUCUUCAAAUCCUAAUUUUUAACAUCUACUAUUACGGGAAGAGGAAUAAAAAUUCAAUAUUUCAACUAUUAUGCGCAAUUUGACAAAUGAAAUUAAAUUAUUGAAACACAAACUUAACAAAUAUUCAUACCUUUUUCAACGUCGAAUUAUGUCUUUCAGCACCGAUUUCAAUAUAAAAAACACAAACUUAACAAAGAUUCAUACCUUUUUCAAUAUCGAAUCCCAGUUUUUUAAUGUUUUUCAACACCGAUUUCAAUAUAAAAUGUUAACAAAAUGAUUUGUGUUUCAAUUAAUAGAAUUUAAUAGAGAUAUGAUGUUUCAUAACUAUUUUUAAUUAUUAAUAGUAUUAUAUUACAAGAAAUGAAUAUAGGUAAUAAAGUUAACCACAAAAACAUUGAACACAAUGAUGAUGAUUCACAUAUCAAAGUGCGAGUGGUAAAGAUGCAGAACUUUAUCAAGAAUAAUAUGGUUUUAUCAAUUGAAAUGAUCAUAAUGGAUGAGGAGGUUGGUUAUAUUGUUUUUUUUUUAAUAUCCCACUAAAUAUUACAUAUGUUUCAAGUAAUUAAUAAUAUUUUUUUAUUUAACAGGGAACAAAAUAUUAUUCCUGUGUUUUCAAUCAAAAUUUUUCCAGAUUUAGUGAUCUUUUAAAUGAAGAUCAAACAUAUAUCAUUAUAAAACCCAACAUGGUGUCUGUCAAAAAUGAUUUUAGUGCUACAGGUUAGAGGUUAGAGACAGACCAUAACUUUGAAUUGGAAAACUAUCGUUAAAAAAUGUAAGGAUUUUUCAGGUCUGAUGAAUGGUUUUGUGUUUCUUGAUCUUAAUUCUAUUAUCGAACAAAAAUGCACAAAGAGACUCAUUCUUUGGUUAGUUAUUUAACUUUAUUCCAAUCAUUUUCAUAACUUGUGUAAUUUAUUAUACAUGUUACUACUUAAUCUAAUCUUAUUUAUUAUAUUUUAUUAAACUUGUGUAGAUGUUAUUGGACAAAUUGUCUCAUUUCGGGCACUUGAAACAUCAAAUCCUAACCCAUCCAAGCAUUAAAUGAAGAUGACUAUUAGCAACUUGCCGUCUAUACACCUUAAGGUCAAUGUAUUUGAAACUCAAGCACAUCAAAUAUCAUAGUACCUAAAAACUAACCAUACGGUUAAUUGUGUUGUUAUAGUGAUGUAGUUUGCUAAGCUUAACAUUUGGGAUAGUUUGUAGUCAAAAGUUAUUUUGAUUUAACCAAAUUGCUCAUUAAUUGAGACAUUGUCGAAAUUAAUGAAUUCAAGAAAGAGUUAGUUUCUUU